AUGGAUGGGUUGAACUUUGAGAUGGUAGCUGGACUGAGUCUGCUGACCCAGAGAGGAUAUGCCCUACUCUCACCCCAGGGAUACAACACUACACUAACCUUUUUGGCUAUAACUUGUGUCAUGUAAAUGGCAAAAUGCAGCCGAAUACUGUGCUAUCUGGAGUGGAGAUUUGCAAGGUGCUAAUGGGGAAAUUAAAAUUACAGCCUGAGUUGGGCAGACCGUGCGGCUGGAGCAAGGCUGAAACUGUUGAUGAGCACAUGGAGGAAGAAGAAGUAGCAAAAGAAGACAAAGAAGAAUCUGAUGAUGAAGCUGCAGUAGAGGAAGAAAAAGAAGAAAAGAAACCAAAGAUUUAAAAAAAAAGUGAUGACCCCAUGGCUUAUAUUCACUUUACCGCUGAAGGGGAAGUUACCUUCAAGUCAGUUUUACUUGUACCCACAUCUGCUCCACGUGGUCUAUUUGACGAACAUGGAUCUAAAAAGAGUGAUUACAUUAAGCUCUAUGUGCACUGUGUAUUCAUCACAGAUAACUUCCGUGAUAUGAUGUCUAAGUACCUUAAUUUUGUCAAGGGUGUGAUGAACUCAGAUGAUCUCCCCUUGAAUGUUUCUCUUGAGACUCUUCAACAACAUAAACUGCUUAAGGUGAUUAGGAAGAAGCUUGUUUGUAAAACUCUGGACAUGAUCAAGAAGAUUGCUGAUGAGAAAUACAAUGAUACUUUUUGGAAAGAAUUUGGUACCAACAUCAAGCUUGGUGUGACUGAAGACCACUCCAAUCAAACACGUCUUGCUAAACUUCUUAUGUUCCAGUCUUCUCAUCAUCCAACUGACAUUACUACCCUAGACCAGUAUGUGGAAAGAAUGAAGAGAAAACAAGACAAAAUCUACUUCAUGGCUGGGUUCAGCAGAAAAGAGGCUGAAUCUUCUCUAUGUUUAGCGACUUCUGAAAAAGGGCUAUGAAGUUAUUUACCUCACAGAACCUGUGGAUGAAUACUGCAGUCAGACCCUUCCCAAAUUUGAUGGGAAGAGGUUCCAGAAUAUUGUCAAGGAAGGAGUGAAGUUUGAUGAAAGUGAGAAAACUAAGGAGAGUUGUGAAGCAGUUGAGAAAGAAUUUGAGCCUCUGCUCAAUUGGAUGAAAGAUAAAGCCCUUAAGGACAAAAUUAAGAAGGCUGUGGUGUCUCAGCACCUGACAGAAUCUCUGUGUGCUUUGGUGGCCAGUCAGUACGGACUGUCUGGCAACAUGGACAGAAUCAUGAAAGCAUAAGCAUAUCAAACGAGCAAGGACAGCUCUACAAAUUACUAUGCGAGUCAGAAGAAAACAUUUGAAAUUAAUCCUAGACACCCGCUGAUCAGAGACAUGCUUCGAUGAAUUAAGGAAAGGUGAAGGUGAUAAAAUAGUCUUGGAUCUUGCUGUGGUUUUGUGUGAAACAGCAAUGCUUCGGUCAGGAUAUCUUUUACCAGACACUAAAGCAUAUGGAGAUAGAAUAGAAAGAAUGCUUCCCUAAGUUUGAACAUUGACCCUGAUGCAAAGUUGGAAGAAGAACCCAAAGAAGAACCUGAAGACACAAUAGAAGACACAGAGCAAGAUGAAGACAAAGAAAUGGAUGUAGGAACACAUGAAGAAGAACAAGAAACAGCAAAGGAAUCUACAGCUGAAAAAGAUGAAUUGUAUAUUAUACUCUCACUGUUUGGAUCCUUUGUGGAGAGGGAAUGUGAAAUUUAAGUCAUUUCUUUUGGGAGAGACUUGUUUUGGAUGCCCCUAAAAUGUGGGAUUAGGGGUCACAGAAAGAAGUAGGUUUUUCAGUUGAAUUUUUUUAACAUUCCUCAUGUAUGUAAAUUUGUACUAUUUAACUGACUAUUCUUGAUGUAAAAUCUUGUCAUGUGUAUAAAAAUAAAAAAGAUUCC